rnacentral:lncRNA from 1 species
UUCAUGAGAAGAUUUUUCAAAAAGAAAAAAAAAUACACAACUCAAAUUGUGGUCUCUCUUUCUUCCACAAAAGCUAUAGGAGGGAAGGGACCAUACCCUAAUAACCAAAUAAAUUAAAUCACAAUUUUUAGGUUGCUUUUUGAUCAAUUAAUUUCCUUUCAAAAUAUGGUAAAGGAAACAAGAAAUGUACAUUAUUCUUGCAGGAUGGAGGUUGCUCCAGCCCUUAUAACGUAUCGACGAAAAGCUUCACAUUAUAAGUCCAGAUUGGAGACCAUUAGAGAAGAGAUCAACGAGGGAUCUGACGAUCAUGACACACAAAAUUUGAUGAUCCUGUAAAAAUUCUUUUAUACUGUCGGUGUAUAGAAUAAAGUUAAAACUCUUCUCGAAAUUUAUUUAUAUGAGAGAAUGAAGUUUCAAGCCCAAGCUGGAUGAAUUUAGGUUUUGAUGGUUGCAUGGGUUGGACAUGCAAUUCAUAUUGUAGUGCAUGUUGCUUUUGUAUUAACAAUGCUUUAGAUUAUUAAUAGAAUUUGUUGUUUGUUUGAGUUAUUGCUCUUGAAUAAUUGGUAUGACGAUGGAAAUUAGGAUGAAUUAAUUUUAAAGUUUUAUUACUUGAAUUGUAGAGCUAUAUAUCAGACAUCCAUCAAAUUCUAGAAACUGCAAUACAAAAAUAAUGUAGAUCUUAAAAAUAACCAAUAAUAUAUAAAUUGCACCUAAAAAAAACUUUACUAUGAUAGAAAUUAAAUACUAAAAUAGCAAAAAUUGCAAAAAUUGUGCUUCAAAUAUGAAUUCCA